rnacentral:rRNA from 1 species
GUGCAGCAGGCGCGAAUACUUCACAACGUGCGAAAGCACGAUGAGGGAAUCCCAAGUGCUUGCUCGUAAGAGUAAGCUGUUUCUCUGUCUAAAACGCAGAGAGAGUAAGGGCUGGGUAAGACGGGUGCCAGCCGCCGCGGUAAUACCUGCAGCUCGAGUGGUGGCCGCUAUUAUUGGGCCUAAAGCGUCCGUAGCCGGCUCGGUAAGUCCCUCCUUAAAUCCACGGGCUCAACCCGUGGGCUGGGAGGGAUACUGCCGGGCUAGGGGGCGGGAGAGGCCGAGGGUACUCCCGGGGUAGGGGCGAAAUCCGUUAAUCCCGGGAGGACCACCAGUGGCGGAGGCGCUCGGCUGGAACGCGCCCGACGGUGAGGGACGAAAGCUGGGGGAGC